AGAGGUGGAGAUGAAUCCACUCACCCAGGGGAACAGCUGUGCCCAGGAAACAGUCAGGAACCCCUGCUGCCGGGACGCCCAGAGCCCCGGGUCCUGACACUUGGCUGUUAACCUCUUCCUCGAUCAUGCGGGGGACCCAGUAUUAGUCUAACGCUUUUCUCCCUUCAGCUUGGCAGUGCUGGUGCGGGUUGCUUGUAACCCGAGCACUCUGACACUGCCAGGCAGGGUGCUAUGUGCUUUAUAUGGGAAUGUCUUUAAUUUUGUGCUCAUAACAUCCUUGAGAGGAAGAUACCAUGAUCUCACGUUACGCACAAGAGGCCGUCGAGGUUAGAGUCGCUUACUCACCGACACACCGCCAACAAGGGAUGAAGCGUGAUGAGGACCUCACUGGAUGCCAGGAGCCAGGCUCCUCCAGCUCACAGACAAGCAGAGGUGACCAUAACAUCCCAUGAAGGACCUGAAGGUCUCUCAGAUCCAGGGAAACAGGAACUCGGAACUUGGCCUGUUUCUGUCGGAGAGCAAACUGUGUGAUGCCCAGCAGCCCCCUGAAGUAAUAUAAGGUGCCCGUGGGGCACGGCUGACACAUGGCGUGUCCUAUUUCCAGGGGACAACUUCCAGAGGCUGGCUUUCCAGGUUCACAGGACACACCUUCUGAGUGGUUACUGCAGCAGCUGGGACCUUCUCCUGCUCCUCCUGGCUGAACCAGAGACAAGUCACAUCACUACACUGACUUUGUUAAGGAGGUCUCUGCCUCAGGUUAGGAACCUCCAGGGAGGGUUUGGCGCCGUCCUCUCAGGCUGAUUAUUUGAGAUUUAUGUCUUGAAACGCCAAACUGCAUGUUUAAUCUGUCAUCCAAGCAGACUGUCAGAUCCAGAAAUGACAAGAUUUAACACACAGUAUUUCAUGCCCAAGACUAACAGCAAAAGCUGCAGAGUGUCUCCCCACAUUCAAAGUAAACACGACGUGCUAACGGGUGGUUUUUCCUCUCUCACCAAAUAAUUACUGGUUUCUUCUUACUAAAAACAAAUUAUUUUAUUUCACUUCAGAAGACUAUGAUUAAUUGUACAAAAUUACACUUGUCUUUAAUUGAA